GAUGAACGCUGGCGGCGUGCCUAAUACAUGCAAGUCGAACGCAUCACUUCGGUGAUGAGUGGCGAACGGGUGAGUAAUACAUAAGUAACCUAGCCUCUGGAGGGGGAUAACUAUUGGAAACGAUAGCUACGACCGCAUAGGCAUAGGCAUCGCAUGAUGAAUAUGUUAAAUAUCCCACGGGAUAGCGAGAGGAUGGACUUAUGGCGCAUUAGCUGGUUGGUGAGGUAGAGGCUCACCAAUGCGACGAUGCGUAGCCGACCUGAGAGGGUGGACGGCCACACUGGGACUGAGACACGGCCCAGACUCCUACGGGAGGCAGCAGUAGGGAAUUUUCGGCAAUGGGCGAAAGCCUGACCGAGCAACGCCGCGUGAGGGAGGAGGUACUUCGGUAUGUAAACCUCUGUUAUAAAGGAAGAACGGCAUAUGUAGGGAAUGACAUAUGAGUGGCGGUACUUUAUGAGGAAGCCACGGCUAACUACGUGCCAGCCGCCGCGGUAACAC
rnacentral:rRNA from 1 species